rnacentral:rRNA from 1 species
AACGAACGCUGGCGGCAUGCUUAACACAUGCAAGUUGAACGCAGGAUAGGACUUCGGUUCUAUCGCUGAGUAGCAAACGGGUGAGUAACGCGUGGGAAUCUACCUUUUUGUGGGGGAUAACUAAGGGAAACUUUAGCUAAUACCGCAUAAGCUCUACGGAGGAAAGGCUCUAUAGGUUUCAGUAAUCAGAUGUUAGAAGA